rnacentral:rRNA from 1 species
GACGAACGCUGGCGGCGUGCUUAACACAUGCAAGUCGAACGGAAAGGCCCUGCUUUUGUGGGGUGCUCGAGUGGCGAACGGGUGAGUAACACGUGAGUAACCUGCCCUUGACUUUGGGAUAACUUCAGGAAACUGGGGCUAAUACCGGAUAGGAGCUCCUGCUGCAUGGUGGGGGUUGGAAAGUUUCGGCGGUUGGGGAUGGACUCGCGGCUUAUCAGCUUGUUGGUGGGGUAGUGGCUUACCAAGGCUUUGACGGGUAGCCGGCCCGAGAGGGUGACCGGGCAAAAUGGGGAUGGGGAUAGGGCCAGACUCCUACGGGAGGCAGCAGUGGGGAAUAUUGCACAAUGGGCGGAAGCCUGAUGCAGCAACGCCGCGUGCGGGUUGACGGCCUUCGGGUUGUAAACCGCUUUCGCCUGUGACGAAGCGUGAGUGACGGUAAUGGGUAAAGAAGCACCGGCUAACUACGUG